CGAUGUUGUCGCGGCGGUGUGCAUAUCGCUCCCAAGUUUCACGCGGCGCGCACGGCGUCUGCACUAUGUUCUCCUCCGAUGGCAUGACGUGCCCUCCGGACGCCGACGGGACCGCGGCUUGUGGUCACCGGCGACGAUGCAGCGGCUUGAUCGGUUGCGCGCUUCUCGCUUCCGAAGCGGCGGCCCACGUCGCCAGGCUGUGCCGGUCCAACCCGCGACUGCUGUCAAUGUUGGUUCAGGAGAAGUGUGGCGACGACGCCAAUAGCAGCCGGUUCGCGCAUGACUUCAAGACGCUGGCCGACGUGCUGGUGCAGCGAGUGGUCUCUAAACGCAUCGGCCGACAGUUUCCAGAACUCGAAGGGAACGUGUAUGGCGAAGAAAAUGAUACAAUACAAAACAAUAAAGGUCAAGAUGUCACCAUACAAGUCGGAGAGACAGUAGAAGAGACGUUGCAGUGUUUGACGAAAGCUCUGGGCGACGAUUUGGACUCGGCCAAGAGCUUAGCCGAAGCUGCUCACAAAGAGUUCGAAUCAAAAGAUCUCAACGUUGACUGUUAUCCGCCUGAAGAGGAAAAUCUCGAUUUGGAGAAAAUCGGAAUAUGGAUCGAUCCCAUUGAUUCAACAAACGAAUAUAUAAACGGAAAUGUCGAUACCAUAAACGAAUACGGAUUCCACUCCAGCGGACUUCACUGUGUUACAGUCAAUAUUGGUUUGUUCGACAAGUACAGCGGAAAACCUAUUGCUGGUGUCAUCAAUCAACCGUUUUUCGAAUUCGACGCCGUCAAUGGGUGGAAUGGAAGAUGUUACUGGGCGUAUUGCGACGGACAGAAAAGUUUAAACUCGUUGCCAGAAUUCAUUAGCUGCAAUCAGGAGUUGGUGGUGACUAGCAACAGCGAGACAGACGCGGCCAAGGCGGCGCUAAGGCGGUCCGGUUACACGGUGGCCACGGCGUCCGGGGCCGGUUACAAGAUGCUGUGCGUGGCGCUGGGCAUCGUCAAGUGCUACGCGCUGACCAAGGACUCGACGUACGCAUGGGACACGUGCGCCGCGCACGCAAUGCUAGCGUCACAGGGAGGCAAGGCCUGCCAAUGCAACACAGCCGACGGGCCACUGACGUAUCGGCCCAAGACCGCUGGCGGCGGACGGGCCCACUGCAACGCGGCCGGUGUGAUCGCUUCGCGCGACCCACAAACCGUCGACCGGGUGCACGCGCUCCUGUCACCGCUGCACCUGCACUGCAGCAGCAGCAGUUGAUGUGCUUUUGCUGCAGCGGUUGCGCCACGCGACUGCAAUCGAUGCGCCCCGCGCUCACGCUGUCGUAUUAAAACUACAUGCUAUAUCGUUUAGGAAAAUCAUCGUACUGUGGUGCGGCGUUGGUUGAUGAAUCACGGCACACUACUGACACGACUAAUUUUUUUUUGGGUUUUUAUAAUCUUAUCACGUGCAAGAUAAACGCGGAAUAUUGACGUUAAGCAUCGGUAUAAUCCGAAUAAGACUUUUCAUACUUCUUUGAUUUAUGACGGACGCAUGCCGUGGUAAAAUAAAAAGGCACCGCGUAUGAUAUUUUAUAUUGAAAUACAUUUUUUUUUUCUAUUUUCGACAGCCAUAAAAUAUAAGUACACGUCAAAAUAUUCCUAACGAAAUGUAAAACAAAAGUUUCAUUCAUAUAUAAUUAUUGUUUGGCGUUUGAACUCGUGGUAUUCUAUUAUCCUUAAUUGAAGAAAAAAAAUGUAGAGCACCAUCAUGAUGAAAUUGUGUUCCGCAUUAAUAAUAAGUGCCCUCCUAAUUCAUUACUAUUGCGUGAUAUUUCGUCAUAAUACACAUCACAUAAUAUACGUAUUAUAUAAUAUUUUAUAGUAAGUGCUGUUAUAUAUAACUAUGACAGUAUAUACGAGUAAAUUAUUUAGUCAUAAGUAGGUAGUCUUAAUAUUAUAUUAUUAUUAUUAUUAUUAUUUCAUAUUUUAAAGGUACCUAGACAUAGUUUUGAAAUUUUAAAAAAAAUCGUUUUUAUAAUUAAUUAUAUACAAUACAGGGUAAUCAAACCAUUUUGAAAACAAAAAUUAGUAAAUUCUCAACGUUGGUAAGGUUUUUUAACCGCAGAGAAAUUUGUUCCCUUUUCAAGUUUCUUAAAUUAUUGUUUUUUAUACAAAUUUAAACUCAGUAUAACUUAUAUAAAAAUUUAAACAACCGUAAAAUGUGUACCUAUUUUUUUAAGCAUCAAUACCUAUACAUUGGACGUUAUCAAGUUACUCAAGUUAUUAAUUUAUAGUAAUAUAAUCUAUGAAAAUAGGUUCAUGAGUAGGUAUUAAAUUUAAUAUCUACAUAAUAAAAGUUGAAGGAAUCUCAAGAAUUUUUCUGACAAAAAUAUGCGAAUAUUACAAUUUUUAAAACUAUAAAAGUUCUUCUCAAAUACGAAAAAAUAAACAGUGAAAAUCAACCGUCUUACGGUCAAAAGAAAUACUUAUAAGAAGGUUAUAGGAAGGUCCUAUAGGAAGGUUCUGUUAUGGUGUAAAAUACCAACCAAAAUGCAGAUGUUCGGUCAUUAUUAUGAAACAUAAAUAUUUUAUACGCA
rnacentral:misc_RNA from 1 species